rfam:Pseudomonas fluorescens F113, complete genome.
AUACGUGUAGGGUGGAGAUGUACAACCGUCGGACUGUGUAGCACUAGGCUUAUAUUUAGACGCUUCAUCUCGUCCACAGGCGCCGGUUGAUUCCUCCUCCUGACUGAGUGCUUGAGUACCAGCAAGCAGGACGCGUCCGUCGCGACUUCGCCAUCAUUGGGUCGAACUCGCUGGACACUGGAGUGGCCUUGCCAUCUCCAGGACGCACCUGACACCGACCGUGAGAAGUCGUGUGUGCCGAACGCCGUUUCCGGCAGCCCGGAAACCGA